rnacentral:misc_RNA from 1 species
UCCGGCUUAUCACCGGCAGUCCCUCUAGAGUGCCCAACUAAAUGAUGGCAACUAAAGGCGAGGGUUGCGCUCGUUGCGGGACUUAACCCAACAUCUCACGACACGAGCUGACGACAGCCAUGCAGCACCUGUACUGGUGUCCCGAAGGAGGGCCCCUGUUUCCAGGGGCUUUCACCAGUAUGUCAAGCCUAGGUAAGGUUCUUCGCGUUGCAUCGAAUUAAACCACAUGCUCCACUGCUUGUGCGGGCCCCCGUCAAUUCCUUUGAGUUUCAACCUUGCGAUCGUACUUCCCAGGUGGAAUACUUAAUGCGUUAGCUUGGAUACUGAUCCUUUAAAGGACCAACAUCGAGUAUUCAUCGUUUAGGGCGUGGACUAC